rnacentral:rRNA from 1 species
AUUGAACGCUGGCGGCAUGCUUUACACAUGCAAGUCGAACGGUAACAGGCCGCAAGGUGCUGACGAGUGGCGAACGGGUGAGUAAUGCAUCGGAACGUGCCCAGUCGUGGGGGAUAACUACUCGAAAGAGUAGCUAAUACCGCAUACGAUCUAUGGAUGAAAGCGGGGGACCGUAAGGCCUCGCGCGAUUGGAGCGGCCGAUGUCAGAUUAGGUAGUUGGUGGGGUAAAGGCGCACCAAGCCAACGAUCUGUAGCUGGUCUGAGAGGACGACCAGCCACACUGGGAAUGAGACACGGCCCAGACUCCUACGGGAGGAAGCAGUGGGGAAUUUUGGACAAUGGGCGCAAGCCUGAUCCAGCAAUGCCGCGUGCAGGAAGAAGGCCUUCGGGUUGUAAACUGCUUUUGUACGGAACGAAACGGCUCUGGUUAAUACCCGGGGCUAAUGACGGUACCGGAAGAAUAAGCACCGGCUAACUACGUG